AAACAUGUACAUUGCAUCUGAUAAUCACUGAAAGACUACAGUGCACCUUCUGUGAGUGCAUGCUGUGCUGAUCUUUCUUUAGGUUGAUCAGUUCACCACAAGAAUGAUAUAAAUUUGUUCGUUGUUCUAACUAUUGCAAAAUUGAGCUGCUUGGAUAGGUGAAAAAUUUAUGACAAAAAAAAGGCAUACUCAGAUCCCACAUCAAGCAACAAGCAAGAAAUCAAGAGCUGCUCAAGCUGAGCUCCAAAUCGGCAACUUCCGUGCAGUAUUCUUCGACCAGAAGUUCAACCAUAAAUAAACAGAGUGAAGCUUGAUAAAACCUCAUGAAUGGAUGGAACCCUGGCCAUACCUCUUCUUCUCCAGGAAACAGCCGCACAAAUUUUCCAUUGCCGCUCCUCUAAGUCUUCUGACGGGGUUUUGGAUAACUAACUCCCUGCUGCUCUGCGGGAGCUUACAUUUGACCGUUACCUCUCUUUGCAAAAUGUUGAACGAAUUGUUUCGCAGGACAAGAUGAUGGCUAUCAGAAAAAAUUAAUUGCUCCUGAGCAAGGGUACUGUCGACUAAUAGAGUCUGGUCUCCGUUUAUUUAGAGGGCCAGCUGAAGCUUCUGUAGAUGGUGCAAGAUAAUAUGUGAUUGCUAGCUGUGUGUGUUGAUUGUUGUGUGACGUGGAGAAGUACAUUUGUACUUGCAUAUGUUGUGUGAUGAACUUGAAAGUUGAAACAUGUCAUGUUAGAUGCAUGUUGGAAACAAUCACAUGAUGUGUUUUGAAUGUGAAUUACAUUAUGUGCUAUGUUUGCUUGUAAUUUUGUUGUAAUAAUUCUAGUAAUAUAGCACUAAUUUUAGGCUUGGUUAAACAUGUUUAGAUCCCCAAUCACACACGGUUCUGGAAGUGUGUGCGAUGGCAUCCCCAAUCGCCAACCUAUCCGAGCACACAAUUUUCAAUUCUAAUUGUGUGUGACGGACCCUACUUGUUGACAUAGUUUUCUGUGUUCUAACUGUGUGUGCGAUUGCCCCCUCUAUCGAUCACACACAGAUUUUGGAAGUGUGUGUGAUGGCAUCCCAAUCCCCAAUCGCCAACCUAUCCUUUGGUUGCAUUUCUUUGUUGCAGUUGUUAUUUGUGCCAAGGGCACAACAGGUCGUCAGUUGUAGUAAUAAAGACCGGAUCUGUGUUGUUAUACUUAUGAUAUGUGAAUAUCUUGGUAUAAUGUGCGUGCUAGCAAUUGAUCCAGAGACUUAGCACAGAAAUCACAUUGAUUCAAAUCAUUCCUUAUAUUACUAUAUGGAUCAUUAUAGUAGAUGGUGGUGAGCUCACUAUGGUCUCUUACUCCAAACUGGGACCCGACGACCUAUGGUGUAAAAACAAGACGACUGGGAUGUGUUCCAGUGGAAGUUGAGGAGGAGCUCGUGAUUUCGAGGCCUGGCCUGCGCGACUAGCUCGUCACCACACUCAAACUCAAGUAGUGCAGAAUCAUGGGCGGGCGAUGCGCCAGUGUGUCCUUGGGGCAAAAAGCCCACCUUGCUCGACCAGCAAGCACUUGUCACCGGCGCACGAAAAUGACUUGAUUAUUGGGUAGAUAAAUUAUGAAUAAAUGAUAAAAAAAUGCAGAUAUCCAAAAAAUGGUGACAAUUGAACUCGGUUUGUUAGGUAAAAAAAAGCAAGAUUUUCCAGUUUUUUUAAAAAAAAAGAGUGUGACAAUUGAGUUCUGUUGGGCUGCAAGAAUGACGACACUUUGGACCGAUUCUGAAGGCCCGUGUUUCCUUCAUUGUCUCCUUUAUUAUAAAGGGCGAUGCUAGGCGCCGGUGCGCCGGCCGAACGUUUCGGCCGGUCGCACCCUAGCCAUCAGAUCAGCUCGUCCCGAGCCGUUGGAUCCUUAUCCAACCAGGUCAUCGUCUUCCUCUCGCGAGCGCGUAAUGAGCGUCGUCUUCCUCUCGUGAACCCCGUCUCGCCGGCCGCACGCGUCCCCCCUCGUUGCUGCCCCUCCCUCGCCUGCCCUCCUCGUCCCUGGUCGCCGGCCGUCUUUCCCGGCCGCCUUGGUCGCCGGUCCCAGUCCUUGGUGGCCAUCCUCGUCACCGGCUUUGCCCCAUGCAACAGCCUGCCCCUGCGGUUGUAGCUUCCAUGGCCACCGUUGCAGCUCCGGUGGCAACGACCGGAGCUCACCGGCAUGCUCACCGGUGUGCUUGCCGCGCGCUCAUAUCCCAGUUGCAACAAAAAAUUCGAGCGCCAGGGGAGAUGCCCAGUGCUGCAACCGACGAUGGAAAAAGCUACAAUCGCUGACGAAAAAAGUUUCAACCAGCUAUGUAAAAAGUUUCAACUUGUACGACGGAAAACUAUGAACGACCAAAGAAAAGCUACAACCAGCGAUGAAAAAAGCUUCAACCGGCUAUGAAAAAAGUUUCAACUCGUACGACGGAAAACUAUGAACAACCAAAGAAAAGCUACAACCGGCGACGAAAAAAGCUUCAUCCGACGACGAAAAAAGCUUCAAACCGUGGAGCCGUAAGCUAUGGACGACAAACGAAAAGCUACAACCGGCGGUUACAAAAGCUACAACCGGCAUUGAAAAAAGCUUCAAACUAAUUGUCUUAGCUGUGAAUCCCGCGAUGGUGAUGAUGUCGUUUUGCUGCAACCAUAGUUGGUUUUGCUACAAACGGCGUUGGAAUUUGCUACAACCAUUUUCGCAGCUACUUGCUGCUGUUCCGCCGAGCUCCCACGCCUGCCCAUGGCCAUCGUCGCUGCGGUGCUGUUCCGGGAGGAAAAAGGUUCAACGGUUGUAGCUCCGCGCGUGGUGGGUUGCAACUCAGAUGUGGUCGGGUCCGACGAGGGCAGGCAGAGCUCCGGUUGCGCGGAUCCGAGCAGAUCUGGCCGAGGGCAGCCGGAUCGGCUGAUUCCCAUGGCGGUGGCGCCUUGGGAGGUCUCCGGCCGGCGAAGCUUGGCCAUGGCAGCGGGGAGAGAGAGCGACGAGCGACGGGAAGAAGAGAAACAUGAGGGAGAAGACGCACGUGGGCGCCCCCCCCCCAUCCUACGUGUCGCUAGGUGAGUCGCUCGGUAUGUUCGCGCGUGGACGCGACCGGCCGAAGCUUCGGCCGGUGCCCCGUCGUGAAACGUUUCCCUAUUAUAAAACAAGGUCACUCGUGUAACCCUAACUAAGGCCGCUGGCGACGAUAUUUUUGCCUCCCCCAGUCAGUAUCAAGCAGUUGCUCUUCCCCCCUUGUCUGUGCCCUUGGAAGCGAGGAGCCAACCAGAUCUCCCUGAGUCGGCGGCGUCUUUGUGUACUCGGUACGUGGCUUCCCUUGUUAGAUGAUCCGUUUUAUGCUCGAAUUGGUUUCUGCGUCGGAUCGAUGCGCCCGAUCCAAAUCCUAAGCGGGGCAGCUUUGGAUCUGUCGAUCCAGAAUCGACCCGGACGCGCUCUUCUGCCGAUUCCGGCGGGGGGUCGAGUCGGAUCGUGCAGCACACGUAUACUAUCUGAGGGGUCCGGCAAGGACUCUGCUCGCGCGUGCAUAUAAAGAUGCGUCGAGGGUCGCCUGAUUUUCAUCAGAUCCAAAGUAAUAACCGAGAUAGCGAUCCGCCCGUGCAGGUCCCAAUGGCGAGCUCGAGUUCCUCCGAGGGCAAGGCGGAGCUGGUUGAUCCCAAGGUUGAGGAAGACGCACCCGGCGAGUCGGCCGAAAACCCUGCAGGGUCGACGACGGAGGCGCUCACCAACAAGAAGAAGAAGCAGAAGAAGAAGGUGUUGAUUCAGGUGCCAGAUAGCGAUGUGAAACGUGUGCUCUCGUACAAGGAAAAACCCAUCGAUACGGAGGUGGACGACCUCUGGGUCAGGAGAGACCCAGAACUGGCUGCCAACUGGGGCAUCAUGCUGGCCAACUUGGCCAUGUUCAAGGAGCUCACCAAGGAGCGGAUGCUUGAAGAGCAGAGAGACUAUAGGGAGCAGUUAAAAACCAAGGGCAGAGUCACCUACGAGCUUGAGGUUGACCAAGACGAUCCCAGAUUUAAACAUGUUGAACCCACCACCUCUGCUGGAGCUGGAGCAGGACGGAGGAGGUACCGCCCGGGCGUCAUGAAAAAGCAAGAUGGGCAGAACAGGAAGCUAAAUUAAUAUAGAUUAUGAUUUUGUACUCUUUGCGUUGCUACGGGCAACUCCUUAUCUCCUUGGAUCCAGGGGGGACGACCAGGGGCCAGCACAACCAUGCCUCUAGCGAAAACAAAACCGCGACUCUCGCGAAAGGGGAAAAAAAGAGAAGAAAACACGUUUUUUCGCGGAAUUUUUUUUUUAUUUUUUUUUUCGGAAAGCUAAGGAAGACCGGUGAAAAACCAAGACGUAGCAAAUUUCAAUUUACUGAAUCAAUAUCUCAUUAGAUAUUUCUGUCUACUAACUAUGUAGCACAAGAACAUCAUAAAUAAUUUUUCACUUGCUAAGCCAACAAACAUUUUUGUCUGCUAAACCAUUGGCCUGAGUCGUGGUGCUCCCAUGCAUGGGCCAACCUAGUGAACAUAGUGUGCUACUGGUAAGUGGAACUAUUCUGGCUAAUCAUGGUUAGAUCUGCUGCUAUUCCACGGAAGCCGACUGGAACUUGUGUGUAUUCAGUUUUAGUUCAAAUGGAGUUAAUUGAUUUCUGUUAUAAGAUUUUUUCAGUUCAAUUUCUCUAUCGUUUUUCGCAUUUCGCAUGUGCUUACUGACACGAUACACCCAACCAUGAAAUUAGAUGCUUCCUUAUUAUAAAUAAGGGAUGAACACUGAAUCUGGUGACAAAAGAGGCAGAGAUAGACAGUGACCAUCAAUUCAUCUUCAGAAAAGUCCGCGGACUUGUAGAGAUUUUGACUCCAUUUGGCCUAGCUAGUAGGUACAUCUAUCAGCAGUUCAGAGUGAAGCUUAUAUUGCGUUGCUAUGAUCACCACUAUUUUAUUUUCGAGUCAACGAUAAAUUUAGAUUGCUAAUGUAACUACUCAUGUACUUAAAUUAGAAAUGUGUCUCAUCUAUCAUAACUGAUUAUCACUAUUCGUUAGGAAAUAGUAUGCUACCUUUCUUUCAAUAACUUUUCUUGCACAAGGUGGAUUAUAAGUACUGACCAUCUAAAAUUGUAGCUCAAGCAAAUAAUUAUUUAUGUAUACAAAAGGAAAAGAAAUAAACCACAACAUACCCUGAAAGAAGUGGUACAUGACAUGAACCAGUGAUUCUGGAUAAAUGAAUCGAUGACUUCUCUGCUAGAAAUGUUAGCAUACACAAUACAUGUAUAAUUGCUAGUUAGAGCGUAGUGAACACAGUAACUUCUCAUAGGCAAUAGCGAUAAAAAUCAUCCAAUCUAGUCACCUGCCGAUUAAUUGCUUGCACACCUCAUUGCCGCACACAAUGGUCAGUAGCAACAUGCAAACAAUCUUUUGUUCAAGAUCUUGCGAGUCAUGCACUGGCUGCCCAGUAAUGAAAUUCAAAAAUAGCAAAUGCAAAACCUUGUGUGCAGAGGAAUCAACAGCGGCUCACCUUGGCCCCUGUUGAGUGUCGAGGAGGAGAGGUGCUCACAAUGCAACAGUAAUAAUCAUAGUUGUUCAUAUCAGUAGAUAAAUACCAUGAUUUUCAUCAUUUCCCAGACAUGUACGUCAUUUCCUCAUCCCGUCUUGAAACUGUCAUAUAUCCAUAUCGGUCUUGCAAGAAGUUACUUAUUUUUAGACAAAUUAACUCCACUACCAAAUUAGGAGAUACAUGGCCAUCUUCCUCAAAAAUAUGAAUAGAACUAAAUUAGGGUUCAAACGUCUACUUCUCAGAUAAUCAAUAUCAGUUAUUUAGCAUUAAUUAAGGAUUCGAAUGGUAAAGCAGUAAGAGGAUAGGUAAUAUUGAGGAGGUUGAUUCAACACUUCAUCAGCCAUAAAUUUCAAUGAUGCUUAAUUGGGCUGGCCUCACUGGGAAGAAAGGACAGCUAGCCAACCAGGGGUUUAGCAGGCGUGUUGAGGCUGCGACCCUGUUUGGCUUUGCGGCAGCCUAGGCAUCACAGAAUCGCCUUCCUUGUGUGCGGGGGCGAGCUAUAAAUUGAUAAGUUAACCAACUGUGUCUAUCCUCCCAUUAAUAUAGCUUGAUUUUAAAAUCUACUUCAUCAAUGACACAAUGGUAUGGAAGAUGAUUUCUACAUGUUUUUCUGUGUACUGAUUAUGAACAGAAAAGAUAUAUCCAUCCUCUAAUUAUGUACAUGCCAUGCCAGACAUGAAAUUUAAACUAAGAUGGGGCUGUUAAUCAUUUUAGAUGAUGAGAUACAAGGAUAAGAUUAAAAAACAAAUGUACAUAAGCUAAAGAAAGCAUUGAGUGUGUGGCUCAUGGGAAGUGUGCAACGUGUGAAUGGGAAACUGCUACAAAAUCGAACUGUUGACAAUUUUUUUUCACAAGGCAUCUCUCUAAGCACACAGUACUCACCUUAUAUUGUAGUUGGAACGGGGAAUAGGACGCAACUAGAAAUUCAGCAACGCAGAAGCGGCCACCAAUCAUGGGAAAUCUGAAAUUGAUAAGAGAAUAUCAAAUAUGUAGUUAUGUAUAAAACCGAAAAGGUGCCUUCUGAGAUGUCAACUGAAAGUAACCCACUGAUGUUGGGAAGGAUUUAUAAUUUAGAGUUUGAUCUUCACCCAAAAAAAGGGAAAGCUAUUGAUCUGCGUUCAGUUUACUCUGAAUUUUACCAAUUCAAUAUAUGCUCUCGCGUUUCAGCUUUGGUAUGUGAUGCUGCACUUCUUGGAUAUAUAUUCAGUUGACUUUCGGAAUUACUUAUACCAGUUUAAAAACAAACAUGUACGUUGCAUCUGAUAAUCACUGAAAGACUACAGUGCACCGUCUGUGAGUGCAUGCUGUGCUGAUCUUUCUUUAGGUUGAUCAGUUCACCACAAGAAUGAUAUAAAUUUGUUCGUUGUUCUAACUAUUGCAAAAUUGAGCUGCUUGGAUAGGUGAAAAAUUUAUGACAAAAAAAGGCAUACUCAGAUCCCGCAUCAAGCAACAAGCAAGAAAUCAAGAGCUGCUCAAGCUGAGCUCCAAAUCGGCAACUUCCGUGCAGUAUUCUUCGACCAGAAGUUCAACCAUAAAUAAACAGAGGGAAGCUUGAUAAAACCUCAUGAAUGGAUG
rnacentral:lncRNA from 1 species